rnacentral:rRNA from 1 species
AGAGUUUGAUCCUGGCUCAGGAUGAACGCUAGCGGCAGGCUUAACACAUGCAAGUCGAGGGGCAGCGGGGAGGAAGCUUGCUUUCUCCGCCGGCGACCGGCGCACGGGUGAGUAACACGUAUGCAACCUGCCCCUGUCAGGGGGACAACCCGCCGAAAGGCGGGCUAAACCCGCGUACAUGCCACCGGGGCAUCCCGGAGGCAGGAAAGGCUUCGGCCGGACAGGGAUGGGCAUGCGGCGCAUUAGGCAGUAGGCGGGGUAACGGCCCACCUAACCGACGAUGCGUAGGGGUUCUGAGAGGAAGGUCCCCCACACUGGUACUGAGACACGGACCAGACUCCUACGGGAGGCAGCAGUGAGGAAUAUUGGUCAAUGGUCGGGAGACUGAACCAGCCAAGCCGCGUGAGGGAGGAAGGUACAGAGUAUCGUAAACCUCUUUUGUCAGGGAACAAAGGCGGGGACGUGUCCCCGGAUGAGUGUACCUGAAGAAAAAGCAUCGGCUAACUCCGUGCCAGCAGCCGCGGUAAUACGGAGGAUGCGAGCGUUAUCCGGAUUUAUUGGGUUUAAAGGGUGCGCAGGCGGUCUGUUAAGUCAGCGGUCAAAGCCCGGGGCUCAACCCCGGCCCGCCGUUGAAACUGGCAGUCUCGAGUUGGAGAGAAGUAUGCGGAAUGCGCGGUGUAGCGGUGAAAUGCAUAGAUAUCGCGCAGAACUCCGAUUGCGAAGGCAGCAUGCCGGCUCCACACUGACGCUGAGGCACGAAAGCGUGGGUAUCGAACAGAGUUAGAUACCCUGGUAGUCCACGCAGUAAACGAGGAAUGCUGGGCUGUCCCGGGGGGAUUGACCCCUGGGUGGCGAAGCGAAAGCGAUAAGCAUUCCACCUGGGGAGUACGCCGGCAACGGUGAAACUCAAAGGAAUUGACGGGGGCCCGCACAAGCGGAGGAACAUGUGGUUUAAUUCGAUGAUACGCGAGGAACCUUACCCGGGCUCAAACGGGGAGUGACUCAGGCAGAGACGCCUGUUUCCCACGGGACACUCCCCGAGGUGCUGCAUGGUUGUCGUCAGCUCGUGCCGUGAGGUGUCGGCUUAAGUGCCAUAACGAGCGCAACCCCCGCGUGCAGUUGCUAACAGAUAACGCUGAGGACUCUGCACGGACUGCCGGCGCAAGCCGCGAGGAAGGCGGGGAUGACGUCAAAUCAGCACGGCCCUUACGUCCGGGGCGACACACGUGUUACAAUGGGUGGUACAGCGGGAAGCCAGGCGGCGACGCCGAGCGGAACCCGAAAUCCACUCUCAGUUCGGAUCGGAGUCUGCAACCCGACUCCGUGAAGCUGGAUUCGCUAGUAAUCGCGCAUCAGCCAUGGCGCGGUGAAUACGUUCCCGGGCCUUGCACUCACCGCCCGUCA